AGAUUGAACGCUAGCGGGAUGCUUUACACAUGCAAGUCGAACGGCAGCGCGGACUUCGGUCUGGCGGCGAGUGGCGAACGGGUGAGUAAUAUAUCGGAACGUGCCCAGUAGCGGGGGAUAACUACGCGAAAGCGUGGCUAAUACCGCAUACGCCCUACGGGGGAAAGGGGGGGAUCGCAAGACCUCUCACUAUUGGAGCGGCCGAUAUCAGAUUAGCUAGUUGGUGAGGUAAAGGCUCACCAAGGCGACGAUCUGUAGCUGGUUUGAGAGGACGACCAGCCACACUGGGACUG
rnacentral:rRNA from 1 species